CAUUAAAAGGAUGCCUAAACAUCAAAAAAUAAAAGGACGUAUUUUUAACGAAAAAGUACAGUGAGUGUUAUUUAACGCUGUGACCUGUAUUUAUCCUUAUCGGAAAACCGAACUUUUCAAAUUAAGUUUUUUUAAGCAAAAAAUUGUUUAAAAAUUAAUAAGUUUAGUGAACUGAAUCAUCUAAGUAACUAAACAAAAAAAUCAACCGAGAUACCGUAAGUAGUGGCGAACGAAAGCGGGAAAGACUUUAAAAUAGUUAAUAAUUUAUUUGAAUUUCUAAAAGCCAUAGAAGGUAUAAUUAUUAUUAAAAGCCCUGUAAAUAUUAAAAUUAAACUAUUUAAUUUAGUAAAUUGGUGCAAGUCAUGCACUGAUUAAACAAUGGGGGACCACCCUCAAGUCUAAAAAUUUUUGAUGAUUGAUAGUGUACAGUACCGUGAGGGAAAG
rnacentral:rRNA from 1 species